rnacentral:rRNA from 1 species
ACAUGCAAGUCGCACGAGAAAAGGGCAACCUUAGUAAAGUGGUGCACGGGUGCGUAACACGUAGAUAACCUGCCCUUUGGAGGGGGAUAACGUUCCGAAAGGAGCGCUAAUACCGCAUACAGCAAGAGUCGGUUCGCCGAUUUUUGGCAAAGGUAGGGACCCGCAAGGGCCUAUCGCCAGAGGAGGGGUCUGCGGCCCAUCAGCUAGUUGGUGAGGUAAUGGCUCACCAAGGCAGAGACGGGUAGCUGGUCUGAGAGGAUGAUCAGCCACACUGGUACUGGAACACGGACCAGACUCCUACGGGAGGCAGCAGUGGGGAAUCUUGGUCAAUGGGCGCAAGCCCGAACCAGCGAUGCCGCGUGAGUGAUGAAGGCCUUCGGGUUGUAAAGCUCUGUGGGGCGGGACGAAAAAGCAGUUUCUAAUAGGAGCUGAAUUGACGGUACCGCCUUAGCAAGCACCGGCUAACUCUGUGCCAGCAGCCGCGGUA